UAAUCAGAAUAACAAUUGAAUUGUGAUGUAGAUUAGUUUAGUAUUGAACAUCUCUAAUGGUUCAUCUUAGGAGGGAACAUAUCGGUUAUUGAUUUGGUUUAGUUCAGGGACUGAUCUAAAUGGUAUUUGGUUUUGUGUUUCAGGAAAUGGGGAAUUGAGAAACUGGCAUAUAGAGACGUCAAGAAGGUUCCAAGACGGGAUCGAAAAUACGCUGUCCAGCCGGAGAAUGUAUUCGCGACAGGCGUACACAUGUCUCAGAAUCUACAAGGGAAAACAUACCACAAGGCUGAAAGCAAAAUCCGUUACUUCCACUACCAUGGUUCGAUCUCUCAGCGCCGCGAGCCUUGUCGUCAACUUUUUAACGAUUCUCGAGUCGUGUUCGAGAACACUCCUUAUGUGCUAGACACUACAAUAUGUGAUGUUGGCCUUGCUGUGAGAACGUUCGAGUUGAGAACGAUCGGUGAUCGGCUGCUACGGACAAGACAAUGAAGAGAUGGCAAAAAUGAAUAGUGAAUGUAAUCAAUCUUUAGAAAGAAGAAUUAGAAGGUGUUAAGAUGAGUUACUUUGUAUU
rnacentral:sRNA from 1 species